GUCGUCCGUCUGGUCAUAGACGGUUACGAACCGGCUGUUCAUGCCGAAUGCGAAGGUGGUGAA
rnacentral:sRNA from 1 species